rnacentral:lncRNA from 1 species
GGGAUUUUCCUGGUAUAAUUUCUAAUCCUGUUUAGGCCUUGUUGAUAAUAGACUGACAAUCCUUAGUACAAAGGGAAAGUGAAGUCUAGUGGUUACAGCAGAAAGUAGUCAUGAUAGGGUUAGCUAGGUUACCCAGAGUAUUACGGGAUGAAGAUAUGCUCCACCCUGUUUAAUCAGUGGGAAAUUCCCCCACCACACACACUGUUGUGACGCAGUCAGAUAAAGCAGCAUGUUCCUAGGUGAUUUGUUAUUUUUGUUGCACUGAAGCUGUCUCUUUUCAAAAGCCAGGAUUUCGGAUUCCUGCUUUCCAACUUCAGCUCUGCCUUUUAAAUUGCCUUGGGGCAAAUUCCUUUGGCCCAGAUUGUCACUAGUAGCCUCGGUUGUUGGGUGCCCAGCUUUAAACACCUGUGGAUUGCUUCUCAGAGAUGCUGGACACACACAUCCCUCUAUGUCUUUUAAUUAGCUUUGAUUAGCAGGCCCAAGGAGUCCUAUACCGGGCACUCACCAUAGGAAGCUCCUAACAUUUGAGAUUUUAAAAAAUAUUUCCUUUCCUUUCCCUGUGUCCCAUGUUUUUCAUCUUCAACAAGUGAUAUUAACACUUCAACCUCCCCCACCAUGGUGUUUGUAAGGCUGAAAUAUUUACUGCUAGCCAUUUCUAAGGGGCAGCAUGUAGCUGUGAUCACCCAGCCGCUGACCGGGGAAUGAAUUGUGACUCAAAAAAGCCCCAUUUUGGUCUGUGAUUCCUUCUUUGCUCAGGGUGAACAGUGAGCUGCACCCAUGUACUGCACUCCUCUGUACCAGCUCAGCUGUGCUGACCAGGAUGUGGGAAAAUGGGAGACCACUGCCCAUCCAUCAGCAUGGGGGAGGCUGGCAAAAGCUAGUCUUUGUUCCACAGCAAUUCCCCGUCCCUCCCCUGGAUGCAGGUGAGGAAAGCUGUUUCGUGGAUGGAGCGGAGGUUGCACUGGAUGAGAGUCAGAUGGAGUUUUACUGAAUCCAGCCGCCGCUGUCAGCACAAUAAAACACCUCUUGAAAACCAAAAACUUUUUGGUUUGUUUUCUUUCUGCAUAAUAGUUAGGGUGGGUUUAUUUAUUUAUUUCCCCCCUCCCCCAGCUGUAGUGAAAAUUUGAAGACUGCUUUUAGUAAACUUAAAACACUAUAGCAUGAUGUGAGCUUAUCUGAAGUUCAAAGGAGAUGGGAGGUGAUAGUGGUGCCCUGGAGCAUGUCUGAAAUUAAAAUGUCAUGUGAGUUAAGGGUGUCAGAAUUUUGAUCUGAGUAUAGUACAAUUUAUCUCAAUUAAGUGUUUUCACAAUCAGGGUCUUAAGAAUUGAUCCAUUGAAUUUUGCUGCAGGAAGGACUUCGGAAUUUGGCCCAUUAAUAAUAUUUCAGAUUCACAUAGCAUUUCCAAUCUAACCGGAUGUCAAAGCACUUUAAUAAAAUGAAAUAUUUUUUUAAUAUGAGCA